rnacentral:misc_RNA from 1 species
AAAAAAAAAAAAAAAAUUAGUAUCGUUGGAACAUCAGAUACCUCCCAUUGUGUCGGAUAAGGCUUAUUUGACCUUAGCUGGUUCGCUUGUUAUCUAAAGUCAGGGGAUUUUUCAUACAGCUAGGAGGUUCACAACCUACCGCCCAUUCCAGAAAGUGAUCUUGCUCUUCUCCAACCACCAACUUCCCCAAAUCAAUAGGGCACAUCUCCAUUCUACUAAGAAAGGUUUGUUCUAGAAGAAAAUUGGAGUUGAAAAAAAGAUAUAGACCUAAGUAUUAAUACCUACCACCCACUGGUUUGAUGGCAUGAGUCAGUGAACGUCAUCUAGCUCUAUGAACAUGAUUUCAAAUAACAGUUGAAAGAAAAGGAUACAUAGAUACAAAGAAUUCGAGUGAAGUGACUGAUGAAGGAAAAGAGAUUUAAGGCUAGGCUCAGUGUCUGGAGGGAAUGUCAUUACAGAAGUGGGUGUGCAUCACUGUUUUAUGUCCUACAUGUUCAAAUCCCUUGCUUUAUUGCAGAACCACUUUAUUGUUCAUAAGUAUGAUAAAUAAACAUGUAUUCCUGGUGUUAACCUUCCAAAAUUGGUUAAUAUGGCAUAUCCAAGAGGAACACUGCCAUGUAGAGAGCUCCUAAUUCUACACAGGCACUCUCCCAUCUUGUAUGCUUGCAACUGAUGAUAUAUAUAAUUGAAAUCAACAAAAGAAAUUCAUUCUAGCAUCCUAACAGAGCAGUGGUGAAUGAAUGGGCUAAAAAGAUUAGCCUUACUUGAGCUUGGACAAUUUAUAAGGUUAGAACUAACCAAUUAGUUACUUGCAUUGACACUUAUAAACCCCUUAAACUUGAUGUCUCUUUUAAUAUGGGACUCUUAACAGUAAUUCUAGAAAACAAGGACUGCUUGAUGAUGUGUCCCUCCUACUAGAUCUUUGAUAGCUACUUUGAUUAGCCGGUCACAUUUCAAGGACAAACAAGAAAAGAGAGUCAGCCAACUCAGACCCAUGUAUAAGGCAUCGCAUCUGUAAUCAACAAGCACAAGACCGUAACAGAAAAUAUAAAGCUACCAUCAAGUGUGAAAUUUUAUCCAGAACUUUCCACUGUAAUUGUUGAUGAGUUUAUCGUUGUAUAUGUUUUUAGCUGUUUUGUACUUCAAUUACCUACAACUUGCACAGAGUACAUGGAAGUAUCAUGCCAGAAAUGAAGUUAAAGACCAAUACAAAAUGGAACUAAUAGUCACCAAAAGGAUGUGAUCUAUUUUCUCCAAAGAUAUCAGUCUUCAUAGUAAUAUCAAAUAUUAUAGAAACAGCUUCAAGAAUCCAUUUCAUCAGCAUUUUUCCCACUUAAUCAAGAACACAAUUCACCGUGAAGUUUAAUUGAAGACAAAGUUAUAAAGUUUAACUGAAAGGGGAAAAAAAACCAAAAUAUGAUAUGCGGAAAAAGUCCAGCCGCAAGAAAGAUUCCCUCAGCGAUAUCAAACCGACCGAACACUUAUUUUCUAAAAAUAUCAGCAAAAGCUACUACUAUACACAGAAAUAACUGUCCAACUCAAAAUAUUAACGGGAAACUAUCGAGAAACAGAAGGAAAACGACAAACGCACACCGCUGAUUCGCAUGCCGAAAGAAUAACUUUAUCCAAUAAAGACAGCAGCACACAUGGAAUAUUUACGAAGGAUGAGAGACAACUGAAACAUUGUCUAAAAUAGCAAAACACCCACUUCACAAGCAGCAAGAACAAACUGCACUCCACACAGGAAUCAACAGAGCACAAAUUAUACACAUCAAGCAGACAUGCCAAUCCGAAACUAAAUAUUGCACUCAAACAAACUCCUGAUUAGCCACCUCCUAUUCCUCUUACGUUCCAAUUAUGCACAACAACUAAAUGUUUCCAUAUCUAAUAACACGAUAGAGAAAGAGAAAGGAAAAGUAAUUCAAAACAUCAAACAUUUUGCAAGUUACAGUUCCAGAGACAACCAAAAUUCAGAAAAACCUUUCUUUAAAAACUUUUUCCAAAUUUUGGUUUUCUCAGAAACGACGCGACAAAACUCAGUUUCAAAUCAAAAUUUCCUUCUCUUACCCCGUGUUUGCCAAACAAGACACAGAACCUAACCUAGCUAAACCAUAAAGCAACCAAAAAAGCAAAAAGGAAUCCAGCAUUUGCUCGAUACUGAGAACAGAUACGUUACCAUAAAGUGCACAGAGAACAGCAAUAACAAAGAGAGCUAGGGAGGUAGAAUAAAAACUUUAAUUACGAAAAAUUUUUACAGAAUAACGAACUUUCAAUCUGGAGAGACAAUGACGACGUUGCCGAUCAGGAAUGUAAGUGUUAAACGAUAAGGCAUGCGACG